UACAGAGGGGGCAAGCGUUGUUCGGAAUUACUGGGCGUAAAGGGCGCGUAGGCGGCCAACUAAGUCGGACGUGAAAUCCCCGGGCUCAACCCGGGAACUGCGUCCGAUACUGGAUGGCUUGAAUCCGGGAGAGGAUGUGGAAUUCCAGGUGUAGCGGUGAAAUGCGUAGAUAUCUGGAGGAACACCGGUGGCGAAGGCGGCGAUCCUGGACCGGUAUUGACGCUGAGGCGCGAAAGCCAGGGGAGCAAACGGG
rnacentral:rRNA from 1 species